rnacentral:rRNA from 1 species
CACGGGUGCGUAACGCGUAUGCAACCUGCCCCCACUCAGGGGAAGUAGCCCGCCGAAAGGACGGAUUAAUGCCCCACUAGGCCCAGGGCGCCGCAUGGCGCUAUGGGUAAAGCUCCGGCGGAUGGGGAGUGGGCGAUGCGUGCCAUUAGCUAGUUGGGGCGGUAACGGCGCACCAAGGCGACGAUGGCUAGGGGGUCUGAGAGGAUGGUCCCCCACACUGGUACUGAGACACGGACCAGACUCCUACGGGAGGCAGCAGUGAGGAAUAUUGGUCAAUGGGCGGAAGCCUGAACCAGCCAUGCCGCGUGCAGGAUGACGGCCCUACGGGUUGUAAACUGCUUUUCCCCGGGAAGAAUAAGCCCCUCGUGAGGGGUGAUGCCGGUACCGGGGGAAUAAGGAUCGGCUAACUCCGUGCCAGCCGCAGC